rnacentral:lncRNA from 1 species
CUCAGCAAGCCAAUGCUUGAAUAUAUGGUGGUUUAAAUGGAGAGAGGUUGGGGUCAGGGAGUAUUUAUGUACCUGUCAUAUGUUCCUUACUCUCCAGUGUCAGCUGCAAGGAGGGAUCAUUCUGGUUAAUCUUUAUGUGCUUCACCAUCUCUCUCUUUUUUUUUUUUUUUUGAGACAGAGUCUCGCUCUGUCACCCAGGCUGGAGUGCAGGGACAUAAUCUUGGCUCGCCACAAGCUCUGCCUCCCAGGUUCAAGCAAUUCUCCUGCCUCAGCCUCCCGAGUAGCUGGGAUUACAGACGUGCACCAUUAUGCCCAACUAAUUUUUUUGUGUUUUUAGUAGAGACGGGGUUUCACCAUCUUGGCCAGGCUGGUCUCGAACUCCUGACCUCAUGAUCCGCCCGCCUAGGCCUUCCAAAGUGCUGGGAUUACAGGCAUGAGCCACCGUGCCCAGCCACGAUCUCUUAAAUAAAGGCGUUUAAGUGUUUGUUCAGCAAAUUGGGCCCAUAAAUUUGGUGGGAAAUAAAUGAAUUGCUUUGAACUGCAUUCAUGAUGAUUGCAUGUGUUUAUCCUUGUUUCCCAAGCCUUUGGUUUUCCCCAAAUACACAGAAAACAGUUGCUCAUCAAUCCUGCCUCUUCCCAAUGAAAAUGAUACAAAUAUAUACAUAUUUUCCUUGUCAGGCAGUUGAAAUAGGUAAAUCCCCAGUGAGAUUCACUCUAGGUACACCCCUGGCCAGAUCUAUAUCUGAAAUGACUGGUUUUUAUGACUUUUUCUUUUUUUUUUUUUUGUUUGAGACAGAGUCUUGUUCUGUCGCCCAGGCUGGAGUGCAGUGGUGCGAUCUCGGCUCACUGCAAGCUCCACCUCCUGGGUUCACACCAUUCUCCUGCCUCAGCCUCCCGAGUAGCUGGGACUACAGGUGCCCGCCACCACGCCUGGCUAAUUUUUUGUAUUUUUAAUAGAGAUGGGGUUUCACCUUGUUAGCCAGGAUGGUCUCGAUCACAUUGGGCCUCAGCAGCUCCCCAGCACCAAUUCACAGGUCACCCCUCUCUUCUUGCACUGUCCCCAAACUUGCUGUCAAUUCCGAGAUCUAAUCUCCCCCUACGCUCUGCCAGGAAUUCUUUCAGACCUCACUAGCACAAGCCCGUAACAGAUGGUAAAGUAAAAUGUUCAGACAAGUAACUCCUUGCUUUACCUCAGGAUACCAAACAACUGGUUCAGUGUCUAUGUCAGUCAGGAUGGGCUGGGUUAGCUGACAUAACAAACAGCCCCAAGUCUCAGUGGCAUAAAGCAACAAAGCUUUAUUUCUUGCACACGCUGCAUGUUCAUCAUGGAACCCAGAUGAAUGCAGCAGUUGCUAUGUGGAAU